AACGAACGCUGGCGGCAUGCCUAACACAUGCAAGUCGAACGAGACCUUCGGGUCUAGUGGCGCACGGGUGCGUAACGCGUGGGAACCUGCCCUUAGGUUCGGAAUAACUCCCCGAAAGGGGUGCUAAUACCGGAUAAUGUCUUCGGACCAAAGAUUUAUUGCCUUUGGAUGGGCCCGCGUUGGAUUCGCUAGUUGGUAGGGUAAAAGCCUACCAAGGCGACGAUCCAUAGCUGGUCUGAGAGGAUGAUCAGCCACACUGGGACUGAGACACGGCCCAGACUCCUACGGGAGGCAGCAGUGGGGAAUAUUGGACGAUGGGCGAAAGCCUGAUCCAGCAAUGCCGCGUGAGUGAUGAAGGCCUUAGGGUUGUAAAGCUCUUUUACCCGGGAUGAUAAUGACAGUACCGGGAGAAUAAGCUCCGGCUAACUCCGUG
rnacentral:rRNA from 1 species